GAUGAACGCUGGCGGCGUGCCUAAUACAUGCAAGUCGAGCGAACGGACGAGAAGCUUGCUUCUCUGAUGUUAGCGGCGGACUGGUGAGUAACACGUGGAUAACCUACCUAUAAGACUGGGAUAACUUCGGGAAACCGGAGCUAAUACCGGAUAAUAUUUUGAACCGCAUGGUUCAAAAGUGAAAGACGGUCUUGCUGUCACUUAUAGAUGGAUCCGCGCUGCAUUAUCUAGUUGGUAAGGUAACGGCUUACCAAGGCAACGAUGCAUAGCCGACCUGAGAGGGUGAUCGGCCACACUGGAACUGAGACACGGUCCAGACUCCUACGGGAGGCAGCAGUAGGGAAUCUUCCGCAAUGGGCGAAAGCCUGACGGAGCAACGCCGCGUGAGUGAUGAAGGUCUUCGGAUCGUAAAACUCUGUUAUUAGGGAAGAACAUAUGUGUAAGUAACUGUGCACAUCUUGACGGUACCUAAUCAGAAAGCCACGGCUAACUACGUG
rnacentral:rRNA from 1 species